ensembl:lncRNA
AUGCAGUUCACGUCGCCGCAGUUCUUCAGCCCCGGGCGGACGGAGGUCUUGUUCAGGUACCUGGGUUUGCUCCUCAACCUGAAGAACCCCCAUAAACAAGAUGGUGAAACGUGUUCCUGCAGACUGGUGGCUGAAGACUUCAGAGUCUCACCACUGGUCCAGGAUGUAGUUCCGGAUCUUAAGAUAUCUCUCGGGGGUCUUGGAUGGUCGUCCCUCAAAGAAUUCUGGGAUAGCUUGUUUCUCCUCCUCAGCAAUGGUCUCCAUCUCCAUCUCUUUUUCCUUCUCAGGCACCUUGAGUACCAGUUCCUCCUCUUCCUCCUCCUCCUCCUCCUCCUCCGCUCCAUCAGCUGGACUCUGUUCGGUCUUUUCAUCAGAAGCUGUGGAGCAAAGUGGACCAUGAGAGUAAAGAGGAGCAUCUGCUGGAAUGGGUCAUGGAAGCAGAGUCUCACCUGUGUCCUCGUCCUCCGGAGGACCUUUCUGCGAGCUCUGGUCCUCAUGGCCCGUCUCCUUCGAGUCUCUAUGAGCUGUGGUCUCUGGUGUUCUGGGGGGGAGCUCGGCCUUCACGCCCCCGUCCAGGUCGUCGGUGAUGUCCACCUCCUCGUCCUCCCCGUCGGAGAGCCUCUCCGUGUGGACGGCGUUGGACGGAGCGGACGCAUGACCGGAGGACUGAGGGUGUAGUUGCAGCACACCGCCCGUAGGCGGCGCCGCCCCUCUGGGCUCCGAUGUGGUCUGGAGGAGAAAAAGGACGAGGCGUGAAUAAGGAAGGAGGGAAGGAGGGAGCACACGAGGACAAAGUCUCACCUGGUGUUUGAAGAACUGUCGGGCGUAGCUCUUCACCUGGAAGGUGGAGCGGCUGCCCACCAGCCUGGCGAUCUUAGUCCACCGCCGACCGAACUGAGCCUGCAGAUUGAAAACACGUUAAUAUGCUCAAUAAGUCACAUGACCACCUGGAAACAGAAGCCACGCGGCGAGCUCACCAGCCCCUCCGCAAACAACUCCUUCUCCUGGGGGGACCAUCGGGUGGAGGAGGUGGAGGACGGCUUGGUCGGUAACCUGAAGGUCGGAGGAGACCAGUGAGGAGCGGGAAAACUUCGCCAUAAUAAUAAUAAAGAACGGUUUGACUUACUUUGUCACUUUGUCGCCGUCACUUUCCCAGAUGUGGCCAGUAGUCCCGCCCCCUGUCAGGUAAUACCUGAGCGCCGGGUUCAGGAGCAAAACGUUCAAUGAUGAACAUCAUAACGGAAAACAUGUCACAUCAAUUCGAUUGUUCGGAAAGCUGGAAAUAUUGAAUUAUUUUAUUAUACCAUUUCUCCCUGUGAGCACUUAUGGUAUAUAUAUAUAUAUAUAUAUAUAUAUAUAUAUAUAAAUACACACACACCAUUUAUAAAUAUAAAAGCAAUAACGUGUGAUGCGUUUGAGGGUCCGUAAAAAAGGAUACUCUUCCUCCAGCAGCAUCGUCUCGAUUGCCUCCCUGUCCUCCGAGCUGAUGGUGCUGUCCAGUUGCCAUGGCUACACAACACACACACACACACACACACACACACACACACACACACACACACACACACACACACACACCACACAGGGUCAUCAGCACGCACACAGAGACACAGAAAGACAGAGACACAGAAAGACAGAGACACGCACCAGUAUCGCCGCGCUGCUCCACUCGGACCGGAUGAGCCGCUCCGGGGACAGAACUCCUACUUCCGGCUCUCUGGAACAGAGACACGUCCCGAGAGACGCUGUCAGUCUACGGAGGACACACUGGGGACACACAUAGCGCCUCUAUGCUCCACAGGUUCAAACAUGUGGGACUAAACCAGACCAGGACACAAGACCGGGCCAGAGUACUAGACCAGUACACAAGACUGGAUAAGUAAGUCCCGCUAGUACACCAGACCAGUUCCUAUCAAACCAGUAACGUUAAACCAGUAACAUUCUCACCGGAUAUUGUUCUCAAACUCGUCUCCCUCAAUAUCUACGUCCACUUCGUCCUCCAUGUUGCUCGUGAACGUAAACAACGGACAGUGAGAACCGGAAGUGAGAACCGGAAGGAAGCAGCGCCGCGCGCACAGUGACACCUGGUGGCGGGAUGACCGCAUGGCCACUGCUAGUACUACUUCUAAAAGUAAGUCAUGUACUAUCCACCAUUGCAACCAGCAGUUAGUACUAAAAUAAUAUAAUAUGUUAAUAAUAACAUGCAAAAAGCAGAUUACACAGCUUCCAUCCCCUGAAAACAAAUACAUGUUUCUUUAUUAAAAGCAGUUUAAUAUUUAUUGAUGUAAUAUUUAGUGAAAUAGGGGCUUGUGAAGUGAAAUAGUUUUAUUCUAGCUAGUUCUUGGUUAGAGUACUCACAUUUCCAACGGCACCCGAAGGCACCGUCUCUGGUUGUACUCUUAAGGAAAUGUCAUAUUUCUUUAUCAUUGAUGUGCUAAUAUUCAAACAGACCCACCAAACCACUAAGAAUAAAAAGACAGUUUAAGACAACAAAAAAAGUUUAUUUAGAAAUUCACAGUUUCUAAUGGCACUACAGUUUCGUAGUAACUCGCUUCUCCUUAAAAACACUGUGCAGUUAAUCACAGAGAUUCACAUAUAAAGGUAGAAAAACAAAAGGCAUGAGGAGUCAUUCAAAGUGCACACUACGUCGCUGUGUUACGGGAUGAGUGGAGUAGUCACACACACACACACACACACACACACACACACACACACACACGAUAAGCUUAGCGUGUGGAACGAGCAGCACAACAAUGUUCAUGAUCCUCCGGGUUCCCUUUAUUCCACUGGAAUCGACCACGAGGAGUCAAAGCGCGCCGAAAGUUGAAGAGGAGGAUGAAAGAGGAAGAGCAGCAUGAUGAGGAAGAGGACCCAGACGAACAAGAAGCAGACGUGAAGACCCGAGUGUUUAAAGCUGUGCAGUGACUGAUAAAAGAGCCGCUCAGAAACUCCUUUAAAUCGCUUUAAAAUGUGCGUGUGAGGCGGGUUAAAACCGCGGGCUGGUGAUCCGACGCCAAUGACCUCUGACCUCCUCCCAGCCGAUGCUCCAUCAUCUGGUAAAAAGACGGGACACGCGAUGUCACCGCUACGGAAUAAACAAAGUGCAGUCCAGUGCGUCGGAGACAUUUUUACAAGACGUUGUCACGGCGACGCCCUGCGGGACAGUUGGGCUGGAAUCAUUAGUAGUUUAAAUAAAUAAAUAGAUAAAUAAAAAUUGGGUCUGUCAGACUCUGCUGCAGGAUCCCAGAGAUCUGUGUGUGUGUGUGUGUGUGUGUGUGUGUGUGUGUGUGUGUGUGUGGCAACAUUCAGCGGUGAAACCCAACGUGCUCCGACAGGAAACGCCUCCGUGAUGCUCGUGAUAAUAAUAGUUCAUAAACAGGGAUGAGAGAAAUGUAAAAAAUUUAAAACAAAAGGAAGGGAGGACGUCCCUCUGGUUCGGUUCCAGGGAGGGGGGGGUUCAGGUGUGGCCAAAACUACUGGAGAGAGGUCAAAGUUCGGAUUCACUAACAGGCAUCACAUUCACGCAUGUAAAGACGCCUUCUUCAUUCAGCUCUGGUGGUGUGUGUGUGUGUGUGUGUGUGUGUGUGUGUGUGCGCAGGGCGGUUAAGGGAAGGGGGGUGAAGGAUGAACUUUGGGGUCCCACGACGUUUGAGGGUGAAACACAAGGACAUAAAGAAACGAUGGCAAUGAGUUACUUCUCCACAAGUCACCCUGAUGAGCAGCCUAAUACUUGUUGAUGCCGCCCCCCCCCCCUCUCUCCCCUCCCUCCCUCCCUCCCUCCCCCCCAGCAGGCUCUUCUUCUCUUCCUCUCCAUUUUCAGAUUCCAUUCCAUUUGUAGCAUUAGAAAAAGGGAACAGAUUAAAGGCACGUAACUGUAAACAGCUCGUUGAGGAGGGGAGGCUCAUGGGUAAUGUAGUCCUUGGGGUCAAGGUGGGACCCCCCACAUGUCAGCUACCUUCAUAUCGUGUGUGUCAGGAGAGACAGGAAGUGUUCAGACGUGUCCGCCGACCACAGUCACCCCGAUGGCGCCCACGCCCAUCUCCUCGUUGCCCUUCAUGAGCUGCUGCAGGCUGGGCAGAGAGGCCACGCCCCCUCCCUGCAUGGCGGGGAACUGCAGCUCCGUCUGCCGCGACUUACGCCGCUUCACCGAGCGGCGCUCGGGCCUGGCGGGGGGUCGCUGGAGGAGGAAAGGCAGGGGGUGUCCAUUGCAGAGCCCGGAGGAGGGGAGGACGGGGGAGGGAGGGGGGAGGCGGCCUGCGUAGGACUCCUCGGAGUGGGUGGACGAGCCGCUGGUCUCAGAAGGGAAUUCCUUGGAGGGGCAAGUGGGCGGUAACGACGGCUCCGCCGAGGGGCGAGGGGGAGGGAAAGACGGUGGAGGAGGCGGGGGAGGGGGAGGGGGAGGCGGCACCCGGAGGAACGGCUGGAUGCUGCUGCAGCUCGGACCCCCGUUGGCGAGAUGAUUCAGGACCUCAACUUUGUCCAACGACUUGGACUUGUAGCGUUUUUUCUACGAGAAGAAACACAGAAACGAGGGGGGGGGAACGUGAGGCGGAAACAGAGAAGCUUUUCAUCACGUCAACCUCUCCUGUGCUCGACACUACGAUCAGGUCACUGGUUGCUAUGGAGACCGUGAAUGUGACGAUGACGACGGACCCAAAACAACAUCAGAGAAUAAGAUGCUAACAGGCAGCAUUUCUAUUACAUCGUAUGACGUUAGCUUAAACCGCCGUGUCCCCGAACGCGUCCCCGUCCUCUUUAAUACUUAUUCUCAUUUUACAGGACGUGGAAAACAUCACGAGUCGUUUUCAUCAACUAAACAAAGU